rnacentral:misc_RNA from 1 species
GAUGAAGAACGUAGCGAAAUGCGAUAAGUAAUGUGAAUUGCAGAAUUCCGUGAAUCAUCGAAUCUUUGAACGCACAUUGCGCCCCUUGGUAUCCCGAGGGGCAUGCCUGUUCGAGCGUCAUUUCACCACUCAAGCCUGGCUUGGUGUUGGGCGACGUCCUCUUUGGGGACGCGCCUCGAAACGCUCGGCGGCGUGGCACCGGCUUUAAGCGUAGCAGAAUCUUUCGCUUUGGAAGUCGGGGCCCCGUCUGCCGGAAGACCUGCUCGCAAGGUUGACCUCGGAUCAGGCAGGACUACCCGCUGAACUUAAGCAUAUCAAUAAGCGGAGGA